UAAGAAAUAGUAAAAAAUUUUUCAAUUUCGAAAUUUUUUGUCGUUUUCGACAUAAACUCCACUUCACAAAUACUUAUUAA